GGCCCAACCUACCAAAAUCUCCCCUGCACAAAAUGUUUAACUGUUGUAUAUGAAAUCUAGAUAAGAAGGUAUAAAAACUUCAGAAUAUGUUAUAUUAUACAACUAUUAGACUGUUGACUACAUCUUUAUUAUUCUCAUUAAUUCCUAAGCAAAUUACAAACAUAUAUACACACACACACAUAACUCUUUCCUAUAAUUGCGCUAUACUAUACAGAUUAGGAAUCCUUUACUAAUUAGGAAUGCAGACCUACACUAAAUAGAAAUAUAACUAAAUAUAAAUAUUGAGUUUCCAUAACACUUCCCUUAAAAUGGAAUCUCAACAAUUCCAACAAUAUUAUUUAUUUUAUUACUUAUU
rnacentral:misc_RNA from 1 species